AGCAGCCGCGGUAAUUCCAGCUCCAAUAGCGUAUAUUAAAGUUGCUGCAGUUAAAAAGCUCGUAGUUGAAUUUCGGGACUAAUAUGUCGGUCGUGCCUCGGUACGUACUGGCUUAUUGGUUUCUCCUUUCUGAAGAACCAUGAUGUCAUUUAUUUGGUGUCGUGGGGAAUCAGGACUGUUACUUUGAAAAAUUAGAGUGUUUAAAGCAGGCUCACGCUUGAAUACAUUAGCAUGGAAUAAUGAAAUAGGACGUUUGAUUCUAUUUUGUUGGUUUCUAGGAUCGACGUAAUGAUUAAUAGGGAUAGUUGGGGGCAUUAGUAUUCAAUUGUCAGAGGUGAAAUUCUUGGAUUUUAUUGAAGACUAACUACUGCGAAAGCAUUUGCCAAGGAUGUUUUCAUUAAUCAAGAACGAAAGUUAAGGGGAUCGAAGACGAUCAGAUACCGUCGUAGUCUUAACCAUAAACUAUAGCCGACUAGGGAUCGGAUGAUGUUUAAUUUUUAAUGUACUCUA
rnacentral:rRNA from 1 species